AGGCACCUCAUCACUGCCUGGAGAGAAUCUCAUCAAAACUGUUGUGAAAAACAUACAAGGUGAAGCAAGCUGGUCUUGAUGUCAAGAAGUGAGCGUGUAAUCUUGGUUUCUCCACAUCAGCCACAACUUUUGCCAAGCUUGAGGUUUUUAUGAUCAGACCCUGUCUAAGUCAGCUUUGUCCUCUCGAGCUCAAGACCAUGCCAGACUUCACCUUGAGGCCGGGAAUUUUGGAGCCAAGUGCACGUGGAGGCCGGGAGGUUGUAUCCACACUAAAGACUAGAUUUGAGUUCACGCUGAGGCCGGAGGUCAUAUCCAUACUGAGGACUGGAUUUGAGUUCACGCUGAAGCCAGGAGGUCGUGUACACACUGUGGUCUGGAUUUGAGUUCACGUUGAGGCCGGAGGUCGUAUCCAUACUGAGGACUGGAUUUGAGUUCACGCUGAAGCCAGGAGGUCGUGUACACACUGUGGUCUGGAUUUGAGUUCACGCUGAGGCUAGAGGUCGUGUCCACACUGAGGACUGGAUUCGAGUUCAUGCUGAGGUCAGGUGGUCGUGUCUACUCUGAGGUCUGAAUUCAAUUCCACACUGAUGCCAGGUGAUGAUUUCUACUCUGAGGUCUGGAUUUCAGUCCACGCUGGCUUUCAGCCCAGAUGUCGCCAAUG